UCACCGGCGGCCGGGGAAUGAACUGGCGCUGCAGAGGCUGCGGGCAGCCACAGCCCAGCGCUCAACUGCUGUGCCACCAGGGGAGGCCCUGAAAUUGCAUAUAUUCUUAGCCUUCACAGCAACCUUAUGAGCCCUUUACAAAAGAAUGAAAGAAAAACUGAAAAAUGAAAAGGCAUAGAAAAGAAACCUUCCCAAAACCCAUCAACAGAAUAAACUGCAGUAUAUACACACAAUAGAACACUACAGAGCAAAGAGAAUGAACAACGAUCACAUGCAAUAACAUGGAUGAUUCUUAGGAAUCUAAUGUUGAGUGAAGGAAGCCAGACACAAAGAUGUGAGCAACAGCAGACUGAGUAAAGCUGAUUUACUUCUCUAAUGCGGGUUGGCCUUAUCCAAUUAGUUGAAGGUUUUAAGAGAAAAUAUGAUGUCCUCUGAAAAGGAAAAUAUUUGCCUCCAGACUGUCUUCCGAAUCUAAACUCAAACAUCAACUCCUGCUACAAAUUACAGCCUGGAAACAUUCCCUAAAAUUUUCAGACUUUGUGAGUCAACUGCUUGAAAUAAUUCUGUCAAAAUAUUCAUCUUUCUAACUCCCUUCCCUGUCUGUGUCUAUUUGUCUGUCUGUAUGCAUGUAUAUGCAUAGGCACAUCUGAUAAAUUUUGU